rnacentral:misc_RNA from 1 species
UCAAACUUGGUCAUUUAGAGGAAGUAAAAGUCGUAACAAGGUCUCCGUUGGUGAACCAGCGGAGGGAUCAUUACCGAGUUAUUCAACUCAUCAACCCUGUGAACAUACCUAACCGUUGCUUCGGCGGGAACAGACGGCCCCGUGAAACGGGCCGCCCCCGCCAGAGGACCCCUAACCAUCUGUUUUUAUGUGUUUCUUCUGAGUAAAACAAGCAAAUAAAUUAAAACUUUCAACAACGGAUCUCUUGGCUCUGGCAUCAAUGAAGAACGCAGC